GACGAACGCUGGCGGUGUGCUUAACACAUGCAAGUGGUGCGACGAACCAGAGCUUGCUCUGGGGCAAAGCCGCGAACGGGUGAGUAACACGUGGGUAAUCUACCCCGAUGACCGGGACAACCCGAGGAAACUCGGGCUAAUACCGGAUGUGGUGCGGAGACAUAAGUCUCUUCACUAAAGGUAGCUUCGGCUUCCGCAUUGGGAGGGGCCCGCGGCCCAUUAGCUUGUUGGUGGGGUCAAGGCCUACCAAGGCAACGAUGGGUAGCUGGUCUGAGAGGACGAUCGGCCACACUGGGACUGAGACCCGGCCCAGCCCCCUCGGGGAGGCAGCGGGGGGGAUUCUUGCGCAAGGCGCGAAAGCGUGACGCAGCAACACCGCGUGGGGGAGAAGGCCUUAGGGUUGUAAACCUCUUUCAGAUGGGACGAAGGUUCUCCGGUGAAUAGCCGAGAGGAUUGACGGUACCGUCAGAAGAAGCUCCGGCUAACUACGUG
rnacentral:rRNA from 1 species